rnacentral:rRNA from 1 species
AUGUGAGUUAGUCUCGUACGAGCGCACCAUGAUCUCUUGUUGCUCAUUGAGUGCUUAAGAGAGACUGCCGACCAACAUCGGAGGAAGGUGUGGAUGAUGUCAAGUCAGCAUGCCCCUUACAUCCUGGGCUACACACGUACUACAAUGGUAGGGACAAUGAGCUGCGAUCCUGCGAAGGCUAGCCAAUCUCAAAAACCCUAUCUCAGUUCGGAUUGUACUCUGCAACUCGAGUACAUGAAGGUGGAAUCGCUAGUAAUCGCUGGUCAGCUAUACAGCGGUGAAUACGUUCCCGGGUCUUGUACACACUGCCCGUCACACCAUGGAAGCCGACUCUUCCCUAAGUCGUUACUCGAACCCAUUGGGACGAGGAUGCCGAAGGCAGGGUUGGUGACUAGGGUGAAGUCGUAACAAGGUAGCCGUACUGGAAGGUGUGGCUGGAAUACCUCCUUUUU